AGUGAACGCUGGCGGUAGGCCUAACACAUGCAAGUCGAACGGCAGCACAGUAAGAGCUUGCUCUUACGGGUGGCGAGUGGCGGACGGGUGAGGAAUACAUCGGAAUCUACUUUUUCUUGGUGGAUAACGUAGGGAAACUUACGCUAAUACCGCAUACGACCUACGGGUGAAAGCAGGUGAUCUUCGGACCUUGCUCGAUUGAAUGAGCCGAUGUCGGAUUAGCUAGUUGGCGGGGUAAAGGCCCACCAAGGCGACGAUCCGUAGCUGGUCUGAGAGGAUGAUCAGCCACACUGGAACUGAGACACGGUCCAGACUCCUACGGGAGGCAGCAGUGGGGAAUAUUGGACAAUGGGCGCAAGCCUGAUCCAGCCAUACCGCGUGGGUGAAGAAGGCCUUCGGGUUGUAAAGCGCUUUUGUUGGGAAAGAAAAGCAGCAGGUUAAUACCCCGCUGUUCUGACGGUACCCAAAGAAUAGGCACCGGCUAACUUCGUG
rnacentral:rRNA from 1 species